CGCACAGUUCCGAGCAGAGGCGCGUAGGCCUCUGAAGGGUCCCUUGGGCUGCCGUGUGGAGUGUGGACUGCAGGAGGCUGGGGUGCUGAAUCACUUAGGAUGCAUUCAGAGGCGAACAACCCGCUUCCCAGCUAGCAGCAGCUUGCACGAUGCCAUUGUGAUCUCACUGAAUACGAAGCCACCGUCUCUCCUCCCUCCAAAAUCCCCACAUACACUUUCUGCCUUCCUGCCUGUUGCCUCAUGCCCCAGGGUGGCUGUCAUAGCACAGGGCAUCACACCGCUACACCAGCAUCUCAAACGGGAAGGAAGUGGCAGGUGUACAAAGGAUGACCACUUCGUGAAUCAGUUCCAGUUCCUGCAUCCUCCCCUUGUUCCUGCCAGCGGGGGAUGGCAUCACGCGGGCGUGGUGAAUCCUGGCCCUUGGGACUUCCCUGCGCCUUGCACAGAUCACACAGAUUGUGGUAGAUGGUCCCUUGCAAUUGUCAUCCUGCCUGAUGCAUCACCACCGAGGAAGCGACCGAAGUCAGAGAUAGAGGAUGCUGCCACUCCCCAAGAAUGAAGCCCGUAGGGGAUAUUAUUGGACUUCGUAUGCGAUGGCAAUGACUCAACAGAAAGAAAAAUUGCUGAUGCAAGAAAAAGAGUGUCUUGCCUCAUCCAGGCAAGAGGGCACCAGACUUGGGACAGCUCACUCGAGGCAGGGAAAGAAAAGCGGGUCGCACGAUUGCAGGCACAGGGCUUCAUUCCCAUCACCUAGGCUGCAGUACAGGGGCGUGAUCUCGGCUCACUGCAACCUCCACCUCCUGGACUCAAGCAACCCUCCCAUUCCAGCCUCCCAAGUAGCAAGGACUACAGGCACACACCACCAUGCCAGGCUAAUUUUUGUUUGUUUGUUUGUUUUUGUUGAGACGGUAUUUCACCAUGUUGCCCAGGCUGGCCUCGAACUCCUGAGUUCAAGUGAUCUGCCCACCUUGGCCUCCCAAAGUGCUGGGAUUACAGGCACGAGCCACCACACUCAGCCUUCAUCAUCUAAUAAAAUCUAACCAAAUCCUUAUACCUUUAUCCCAUCUGCAUCUUGGAAGACCUGGACUAACAUAAGUGGCAUCAGGAGAGGAUCUGGGACUGUCCUGCCCACCACCCAAAGGGUGCAGAGGCUGCUGUCCUGGUUGGCUGGGAGGUCCGGUGGUCCCUGGCACAUGGUGGGAGCUUCAUGAGUGAUGAUCUGGGAAAAUAUCUCGGUGGAGCACAGCGCUGUGGCUGGUGGGAUGAUGCAGGCCCCUGAAAAACUGGGAGUGGGGAGCAACCAAACCAACAAAGACAGGACAGCGGGCUGGUUCCCCAUACCGACAUCCUGAGAGCUGUUACCAAGCUCGGUGUGAGACUGGAGUGCCGCUACCACAGAGGUAAACAGGCACUUAACCGGAGUGAAGGGCCACCGGUGGGUCAGCUCUGCAAAGGUAGAAAGUAAGGGUUCCCUGGGGAAAAUCUGGGUCCCAAAGAUGUAACGAUGAGGACCCUCCAGUCCUCUGGAACCUCUGGAAGUGCACAGGUCCUCCUGCCCCAUAAAGGUGAGCACAUCUACUGUGCUGGAGAUGUUAGGGAAUCACCUGUCUCACCAGGAAGCAAGUGCUCGCCUCAGGAGCUGUCCCACCUGCCUGCCAGGCCAAUUGCGAGGGCUAAAUCCCAGCACAGACCAACGGGAAGGGGCAGGGUGCUAAGCCUAAAAAGGGAGAAAGGGGCUGCACAGCUAAGUAAUUGCAAGAACUGGUUGAUGGCCUCAGCUGGGGCAGAAGAGAAGUCCUGGGAUGGGAGAGUGAGGAGCUUGACCAAGGGUCUGGAAACAUUUGCUGCA